rnacentral:rRNA from 1 species
AUUGAACGCUGGCGGAAUGCUUUACGCGUGCAAGUCGAACGAUGAAGUCUAGCUUGCUAGACGGAUUAGUGGCGAACGGGUGAGUAAUAUAUCGGAACGUAUCCAUUAAUGGGGGAUAACUAGUCGAAAGAUUGGCUAAUACCGCAUACGUCCUACGGGAGAAAGCUAGGGACCUUCGGGCCUGGCGUUAAUGGAGCGGCCGAUAUCUGAUUAGCUAGUUGGUGAGGUAAAGGCUCACCAAGGCGACGAUCAGUAGCUGGUCUGAGAGGACGACCAGCCACACUGGAACUGAGACACGGUCCAGACUCCUACGGGAGGCAGCAGUGGGGAAUUUUGGACAAUGGGCGCAAGCCUGAUCCAGCCAUUCCGCGUGAGUGAAGAAGGCCUUCGGGUUGUAAAGCUCUUUCGCAAGGGGAGAAAACUUACCCUCUAACAUAGGGUGAGGAUGACGGUACCUUGAUAAGAAGCACCGGCUAACUACGUGCCAGCCGCCGCCGUAAUAC